rnacentral:lncRNA from 1 species
AUAAAAGAUAUUAACACCUAAAUGGACUAAAUUAAAAAUAAUUAAAUCACUUAUAUAACAUAACUGCUUAUAACUCUGUAAUUUUGAAUAUCGGAAAAACACAGAAAACACAUAAACCACAAUAUUUAAAUAAUAAAAUGUUAGAGCUGAAAGGGAAUUAACUUCAUAUCCUAUUCAACUAUCUGAUCUCUUAUGUAGAUCACCUCCUUUUCCUUGAAACCUCUUUUCUGUAAUAUGCUAGCUAUCUUUCUACUUUCCAAGCCACCCCUCCAUCUACGUCAUAAGUGGCUAACCAGAAGUAGCUUUCCCGUUACUUCUUUAAUGUAAUGUUUGACACACACAAAAUAUAUGGAAAGAUGAAUGUAAGCAAGCAUAAAAUAAACAGUUAAUUGUAAAUCUCCACAUCACAUAAGAACACCAAUAACAUAAUCUAAGUGCUUCUGUCCUCCUAACCUUCAUCCUAAUUAUGUCUUAUCCCAUCAUUUUUUAAAAUAUAAGACUGUCACAUAUGUAUAUGUCCUUAAAUNNNNNNNNNUUUAGGUAUGUGUCCUCCCCCAACCCAUCAUCAUUUUUUCAGCUUGAUAAACUGAUAUGUUGAAUGAAAUAUUUGGGGAUGUGAACUUUUUCAUGUAAUAUUUUUCUGUUUUAUCCAUGUUACAUUUUCACUGCCUUAUAUGAUAUUCCAUAAUAUAAAUGUGCCACAAUCUAUUUAUCUACUUGUUCUGUUGACAAACAUUUGUAUGGCUUACUUUUUUGCUUUUAUCAACAUUACUAUUCAAGUCGCCAGGUAUACUUUACAAGAAUGUCUUUGGGAUAUGCAAAGUGGGAAACUGGUGGGUCACAGGGCAUCCAAAUUCUCAAAUCUAUCAAAAAUGCCCAAGUGCCUUCAACUGGAUCACCUUUCCAAUUCACCAGUAGCAUAUGAACACAUUUUCUCCAAUACUAGGUAAAAUCAAAUUUUAUAAUUUGUAGCAGUCAGUCAAGUCAGUUCACUCAGUCAUGUCCAGCUCUUUCUGACCCCAUGAACCACAGCACGCCAUGCCUCCCUGUCCAUCACCAGCUCCCAGAGUCCACCCAAACCCAUGUCCA